AGCCGGGGCUUUGUCUUGACGGGGUGCUGGAAGCUCUUUAGUAUUUUGUACCCCGAAAAUUGGCAGGGCGCUUGCUCUGCCAUUUCGUUUAAGUGUCGUAAGACAAUCAGUGGAGCUAUAGA
rfam:Pseudomonas knackmussii B13 complete genome